rnacentral:rRNA from 1 species
CGAGUGGCGAACGGGUGAGUAAUGUAUCGGAACGUACCUUUCAGUGGGGGAUAACGUAGCGAAAGUUACGCUAAUACCGCAUAUUCUGUGAGCAGGAGAGCAGGGGAUCGCAAGACCUUGCGCUGAUUGAGCGGCCGAUAUCAGAUUAGCUAGUUGGUGAGGUAAAGGCUCACCAAGGCGACGAUCUGUAGCGGGUCUGAGAGGAUGAUCCGCCACACUGGAACUGAGACACGGUCCAGACUCCUACGGGAGGCAGCAGUGGGGAAUUUUGGACAAUGGGGGCAACCCUGAUCCAGCCAUGCCGCGUGAGUGAAGAAGGCCUUCGGGUUGUAAAGCUCUUUCGUCCGGGAAGAAAUCGCAUCAGCUAAUACCUGGUGUGGAUGACGGUACCGGAAUAAGAAGCACCGGCUA